rnacentral:rRNA from 1 species
GUGACGAUCGCCUAGCGGUGCCUUAUCCUAGGCUCGAUCGGUAAAUCGAAAUGUUUGUUUUCAUUAAUUUUCAUUAAUGAAACAAAUAUUGUACAACUUUAAGCGGUGGAUCACUCGGCUCGUGUGUCGAUGAAGAGUGCAGCCAACUGUGUGAAUUAAUGUGAACUGCAUACUGCUUUGAACAUCGACCUCUUGAACGCAUAUUGCGGCCACGGGAUAUCCUGUGGCCACGCCUGUCCGAGGGUCGGCUUAUAAACUAUCCCGAUGCCCAAAAAGUCGUGGAUUGGAUGCUGUGCCAGCUGGCAUGAUUUCCUCAAUGUAGUAUUUAAUUAAUAUACUAACAUAUGAGGUGCCAGAUCUAUGGCUCCAUCUUAAUGUAUCCGGUUACAGCCAAGUCUAUAUUUAUUAUUAUUAAAUGAUAAAAUUGCUGUAUUACUGGAUUAUGCUCAGGUCGUGGCUCAAUGAUUUUGAACACGCUUGAUGUUAUAAUCCAUAUAUUAAUUAUAUAAAUAUAGACAUUGGAUUAUUUUGUAGCCGAUGGAGUGUAAAUACUCUAUAAUAUGGGUAAUUUAUUGAUUUAUAUGAUACCCUAAUUAUAUAUAUUAUGACCCUGACCUCGGAUCAGACGUGAUUACCCGCUGAACUUAAGCAUAUCACUAAGCGGAGGAAAAGAAACUAACCAGGA